rnacentral:rRNA from 1 species
CCUUCGGGAGCCGACGAGUGGCGGACGGGUGAGUAACGCGUAGGAAUCUGCCUGGUAGUGGGGGACAACGUGGGGAAACUCACGCUAAUACCGCAUACGCCCUACGGGGGAAAGCGGGGGCUCUUCGGACCUCGCGCUAUCAGAUGAGCCUGCGUUAGAUUAGCUAGUUGGUAGGGUAAAGGCCUACCAAGGCGACGAUCUAUAGCUGGUCUGAGAGGACGAUCAGCCACACUGGGACUGAGACACGGCCCAGACUCCUACGGGAGGCAGCAGUGGGGAAUAUUGGACAAUGGGCGCAAGCCUGAUCCAGCAAUACCGCGUGUGUGAAGAAGGCCUUAGGGUUGUAAAGCACUUUCAAUGGGGAGGAAAACCUGCCGGUCAAUACCCGGUAGCUUGACAUUACCUUUAGAAGAAGCACCGGCUAACUCCGUGCCAGCAGCCGCGGUAAUACGGAGGGUGCGAGCGUUAAUCGGAAUUACUGGGCGUAAAGCGUGCGUAGGCGGUUCGUUAAGUCAGAUGUGAAAGCCCUGGGCUCAACCUGGGAACGGCAUUUGAAACUGGCGGACUAGAGUUUAGUAGAGGGGAGUGGAAUUUCAGGUGUAGCGGUGAAAUGCGUAGAUAUCUGAAGGAACACCAGUGGCGAAGGCGACUCCCUGGACUAGAACUGACGCUGAGGUACGAAAGCGUGGGUAGCAAACAGGAUUAGAUACCCUGGUAGUCCACGCCGUAAACGAUGUCAACUAGCCGUUGGUCCUAUUUACAGGAUUAGUGGCGCAGCUAACGCAUUAAGUUGACCGCCUGGGGAGUACGGCCGCAAGGUUAAAACUCAAAUGAAUUGACGGGGGCCCGCACAAGCGGUGGAGCAUGUGGUUUAAUUCGAUGCAACGCGAAGAACCUUACCUACCCUUGACAUCCAGAGAAUCAA